GACGAACGCUGGCGGCGUGCUUAACACAUGCAAGUCGAACGGAAAGGCCCUGCUUUUGUGGGGUGCUCGAGUGGCUAACGGGUGAGUAACACGUGAGUAACCUGCCCUUUACUUUGGGAUAACUUCAGGAAACUGGGGCUAAUACCGGAUAGGAGCUCCUGCUGCAUGGUGGGGGUUGGAAAGUUUCGGCGGUUGGGGAUGGACUCGCGGCUUAUCAGCUUGUUGGUGGGGUAGUGGCUUACCAAGGCUUUGACGGGUAGCCGGCCUGAGAGGGUGACCGGCCACAUUGGGACUGAGAUACGGACCAGACUCCUACGGGAGGCAGCAGUGGGGAAUAUUGCACAAUGGGCGGAAGCCUGAUGCAGCAACGCCGCGUGCGGGAUGACGGCCUUCGGGUUGUAAACCGCUUUCGCCUGUGACGAAGAGUGAGUGACGGUAAUGGGUAAAGAAGCACCGGCUAACUACGUG
rnacentral:rRNA from 1 species